ensembl:lncRNA EXOC3-AS1 EXOC3 antisense RNA 1
ACUUCCGCUUCCGGCAACGGCGCCGGAAGCACGGGUCCGGGCCCUCCCGCGGGGCGGGUACUCGUCUCCCGGCCGAGCGACUUCAGCUCGGGGACCUGCCCCAUGGCCGCUCCCCAGCAGGACAGGGAAACCGCCGAGGUGGGGGGCUUCUUGUCCGUCCCAGCCCCCCCAACUCAGGCCCUCUCGCUGCCCCUGGCGACCACCGCGUGCGCCCUUCCCCAGGGCGGGCGCAGUCCUGGACGCCUCCGCCGAGCGUGACUGCGUGCAUUUUCUCUCCUUUCCCUUCCCAACCUGCGGAGAGAAGACAGCCCCAGAGCCGCUGUCUCCAUCCUCUGCUGAUGCCUGCUGUCUUUAUGUUGGCCUCGUCGUCCGCACUGCAGUGUGGCAGGGGCGUCCCUCGUUUCCCGCGGACUGAGGUGGGCGCCGGGCAUUCAGUAAACGAAGAAACCAAAGCGGAGAAGGUUGGGAAUCAAACGUCUGUCAUACCUGCCACCAGCAGACAAGCGGCUUUGGGUACCUCCUGGACCCAAAGACGAACUCAGCCCCUCCAGGAGCGCAGUCAUUGGCACCCUCGUGGGAACAAUGCCAGUGGGAUGGGUGGCCACCGGAUGUUUCCGGGGCCCCUCAGAGGCCCAGCAGCGCAGGUCUUGGAGAAUGAAUGUGGGUCACUGGGCCGCGCUGCAGAGGGCCGGUCCUGAGUCGCUUCCUGGAGGAGAGGCCCAUGGCCAGCACUUGGCUUCGCCUGGAGGAAGAAGCACGUGCUAAACCACGAGCGUUCAGGGUUUGUCUGUUUGAUAAAAGAUGCUGGCUUUGACACACCAACUGACAAAGUCUUUCAUAGGUUGGAGCUGCUAGGUUGUGCCCCUGCCCCUCCUGAAAAUUAGCCACACGAAAGGAAGGGUCUGGAAGGUGGCAGGGAAGCCAGCAGAGACCAGGGAAGUGGCAGCAGCAUGGGGCAGGGGCACACAGGAAGGAGAUGGAGCUUGCGGGAGCCCCCACUGCCACUCCGACAGGGAGCCCUGCCCCGUGCCCUGCUGAUGUUGACACUGACCCCGGCUCUAUUAUUUCAGUUUUUCCUUGUAAUUUCUGAAAAUCUAGCAACAAGUUGAGCAAUGAAAAAAAGUAAAAAAGUUAAAAUUGUGUUAGAAAUUAUGACUGUAAAGAAAUUUUGAAACUAAUGAAGAAAAAAUUGCCAAAAUUGCCAAAGCUUUUAGGACUCUUAAAAAUAUAGUAACAUUGAGUAUUAUGAACUAAAGACUCAUACUAUUAUAUCAGUGUCUGGUAGUGAAUUUGGAUGGAGGACUGUCUAGUAACUUCUUAACAAAACAUUGAUUAGAAGUCUUUCUUGGCGGGGCGCCGUGGCUCACGCCUGUAAUCCCAGCACUUUGGGAGGCGAGGCAGGUAGAUCAUGAGGUCAGGAGAUCGAGACCAUCCUGGCUAACAUGGUGAAACCCCGUCUCUACUAAAAAAAAUACAAAAAAACUAGGCAGGUGUGGUGGUGGGCCCCUGGAGUCCCAGCUACUCGGGAGGCUGAGGCAGGAGAAUGGCGUGAACCCGGGAGGCGGAGCUUGCAGUGAGCCAAGAUCGCGCCACUGUACUCCAGCCUGGGCAACAGAGCGAGGCUCCGUCUCAAAAAAAAAAAAAAAAAAAAAAAAAAAAAAAA